CGUCCUUUUUUGCUGAGACGGCAAAUUCUGAUACUGUAAUCACUUGACCCAUGAUUUUGGUAAUUCAGAUCACGUGAAACUGGUCUGCAUCACACAUAGAAAACAUGGCUGUAUACUAUCCACAAACUCUAGUUCCUUUUUUGGGGUUCUUAUCAAUGAGAUCGAAAAUAUAUUAAUUAAUAAGAUGAGUAUUCUGCUAAGCUCAUUGUACAACAUUAAUGCAUUAAACUGGAUCAUCAAAUUUAUGUGACAUGGAUGAGUCAAUGUUCACUUUGAUCUAGUAUUCACUGAACUGACCUGAACUGUGUAGUUCAGCCCAUGCUAAAUUAAAUUCACACCAAAUCGAGAUAUUUCGGUGGGUCGGUUUGGUUUAUAAUCGCCCUCCCCCCAUGUUUGGCCAAAUAUUGAAGAAAUGUUUGCCCUCUAUCUUCUCGCUAGAUCAGUAGCUUGUCUCGCUCUCUCUCUCUCCCCCUCUAUCCCCCCUCC
rnacentral:lncRNA from 1 species